UACGAACGCUGGCGGCAUGCUUAACACAUGCAAGUCGAACGCUCUUGGGACUUCGGUUUUAAGAGAGUGGCAGACGGGUGAGUAACGCGUGGGAACGUACCUUUUGGUUCGGAAUAACGAUUGGAAACGAUCGCUAAUACCGGAUAGCCUCGAGAGAGGAAAGAUUUAUCGCCGAAGAGAGCGGCCCGCGUUAGAUUAGGUAGUUGGUGGGGUAAUGGCCUACCAAGCCUGCGAUCUAUAGCUGGUCUGAGAGGAUGAUCAGCCACACUGGGACUGAGGCACGGCCCAGACUCCUACGGGAGGCAGCAGUGGGGAAUAUUGGACAAUGGGGGAAACCCUGAUCCAGCCAUGCCGCGUGAGUGAUGAAGGCCUUCGGGUUGUAAAGCUCUUUUACCUGUGAAGAUAAUGACUGUAGCAGGGGAAUAAGCUCCGGCUAACAUCGUGCCAGCCGCCGCCGUAA
rnacentral:rRNA from 1 species